rnacentral:rRNA from 1 species
UACGAGGGGGGCAAGCGUUGUUCGGAAUUAUUGGGCGUAAAGGGCGCGUAGGCGGCGUUUAAGUCGGGGUGAAAGCCUGUGGCUCAACCACAGAAUGGCCUUCGAUACUGGGACGCUUGAGUAUGGUAGAGGUUGGUGGAACUGCGAGUGUAGAGGUGAAAUUCGUAGAUAUUCGCAAGAACACCGGUGGCGAAGGCGGCCAACUGGACCAUUACUGACGCUGAGGCGCGAAGCGUGGGGAGCAAACAGG